rnacentral:rRNA from 1 species
CCUACGGGUCGCAGCAGUGGGGAAUAUUGCACAAUGGGCGCAAGCCUGAUGCAGCCAUGCCGCGUGUAUGAAGAAGGCCUUCGGGUUGUAAAGUACUUUCAGCGGGGAGGAAGGCGAUAAGGUUAAUAACCUUGUCGAUUGACGUUACCCGCAGAAGAAGCACCGGCUAACUCCGUGCCAGCAGCCGCGGUAAUACGGAGGGUGCAAGCGUUAAUCGGAAUUACUGGGCGUAAAGCGCACGCAGGCGGUCUGUCAAGUCGGAUGUGAAAUCCCCGGGCUCAACCUGGGAAUUGCAUUUGAAACUGGCAGGCUAGAGUCUUGUAGAGGGGGGUAGAAUUCCAUGUGUAGCGGUGAAAUGCGUAGAGAUGUGGAGGAAUACCGGUGGCGAAGGCGGCCCCCUGGACAAAGACUGACGCUCAGGUGCGAAAGCGUGGGGAGCAAACAGGAUUAGAUACCCCAGUAGUC